CUUUAUGAGGUGCAACCAAAACAGCUGUUAGACAUUGCAACAGGGAUAUUCUGGCAGGGUGUCUGUCUAGCAUUAGUUCUGAAUACGAUUGUGGUUUUGAUCACUAAAAUGGCUGUGACUUUUGGACUCUCUUUGAGGUGCUUAUGGGCAUCCUGCCUCCACUGGAGCCCAAGCGAGUGUGGUGUCUGUUCCAAAUGCUAAAGCUACUGGCCACAAUAGCUCGGCAAAUGUGACGUCGGGUCGAAAUGCCUCAGCAGGAGCGACCGGCCCCCGCGCCUCAGCAGGAGCGACCGGCCCCCGCGCCUCAGCAGAAGCGACCUGCGCCUCAGCAGAAGCAUCUGGCCCCCGCGCCUCAGCAGAAGCGACCGGCCCCCGCGCCUCAGCAGAAGCGACCGGCCCCCGCGCCUCAGCAGAAGCGACCCGCGCCUCAGCAGAAGCAUCUGGCCCCCGCGCCUCAGCAGAAGCGACCGCGCC
ensembl:lncRNA